rnacentral:rRNA from 1 species
AUUGAACGCUGGCGGCAUGCUUUACACAUGCAAGUCGAACGGCAGCGCGGGCUUCGGCCUGGCGGCGAGUGGCGAACGGGUGAGUAACAUAUCGGAACGUACCCAAGAGUGGGGAUAACGUAGCGAAGUUACGCUAAUACCGCAUACGAUCUAAGGAUGAAAGCAGGGGAUCGCAAGACCUUGUGCUCCUGGAGCGGCCGAUAUCUGAUUAGCUAGUUGGUGAGGUAAAGGCUCACCAAGGCAACGAUCAGUAGCUGGUCUGAGAGGACGACCAGCCACACUGGAACUGAGACACGGUCCAGACUCCUACGGGAGGCAGCAGUGGGGAAUUUUGGACAAUGGGGGCAACCCUGAUCCAGCAAUGCCGCGUGAGUGAAGAAGGCCUUCGGGUUGUAAGACUCUGUCGUAUGGGAAUAAGAAAGUGAAUGUACCAUGCAAGAAAGGAAUC